CAAUAGCGUAUAUUAAAAUUGUUGCGGUUAAAACGCUCGUAGUUGGAUAUUUGUUGGAGAAUACUGGUCUACCCCAGUGGUCAGUACUCGGUGUAUCUCCGACAUCUCUUUGGUUAACUGCGUUCACUUCAUUGUGCGCGCAGAUGAGCCAAAACUUUUACUUUGAGGAAAUGAGAGUGUUUCAAGCAGGCUUAGCCAUGAAUACGUUAGCAUGGAAUAAUAGCAUAGGACCUUGUGUCGUAUCUGUUGGUUGACGACACAUGGUAAUAAAAAUAGGGGAUAGUUGGGGGCAUUCGUAUUGCAUAGUCAGAGGUGAAAUUCUUAGAUUUGUGCAAGACGGACUACUGCGAAAGCAUUUGCCAAGGAUGUUUUUAUUAAUCAAGAACGAAAGUUAGGGGAUCGAAGACGAUCAGAU
rnacentral:rRNA from 1 species